AGCGAACGCUGGCGGCAGGCCUAACACAUGCAAGUCGAACGAACUCUUCGGAGUUAGUGGCGGACGGGUGAGUAACACGUGGGAACGUGCCUUUUGGUUCGGAAUAACUCAGGGAAACUUGUGCUAAUACCGAAUGUGCCCUUCGGGGGAAAGAUUUAUCGCCAUUAGAGCGGCCCGCGUCUAAUUAGCUAGUUGGUGAGGUAACGGCUCACCAAGGCGACGAUCAGUAGCUGGUCUGAGAGGAUGACCAGCCACACUGGGACUGAGACACGGCCCAGACUCCUACGGGAGGCAGCAGUGGGGAAUCUUGCGCAAUGGGCGAAAGCCUGACGCAGCCAUGCCGCGUGAAUGAUGAAGGUCUUAGGAUUGUAAAAUUCUUUCACCGGGGACGAUAAUGACGGUACCCGGAGAAGAAGCCCCGGCUAACUUCGUG
rnacentral:rRNA from 1 species